rnacentral:rRNA from 1 species
UACGUAGGGGGCAAGCGUUGUCCGGAAUUAUUGGGCGUAAAGAGCGUGUAGGCGGUCCGGUAAGUCAGCUGUGAAAGUCAAGGGCUCAACCCUUGAAUGCCGGUUGAUACUGUCGGGCUAGAGUCCGGAAGAGGCGAGUGGAAUUCCCGGUGUAGCGGUGAAAUGCGCAGAUAUCGGGAGGAACACCAAUGGCGAAGGCAGCUCGCUGGGACGGUACUGACGCUGAGACGCGAAAGCGUGGGGAGCAGACAGG